GACGAACGCUGGCGGCGUGCUUAACACAUGCAAGUCGAACGGAAAGGCCCUGCUUGCAGGGUACUCGAGUGGCGAACGGGUGAGUAACACGUGGGUGAUCUGCCCUGCACUUCGGGAUAAGCCUGGGAAACUGGGUCUAAUACCGGAUAGGAGCCAUUUUUAGUGUGAUGGUUGGAAAGUUUUUUCGGUGUAGGAUGAGCUCGCGGCCUAUCAGCUUGUUGGUGGGGUAAUGGCCUACCAAGGCGGCGACGGGUAGCCGGCCUGAGAGGGUGGACGGCCACAUUGGGACUGAGAUAAGGCCCAGACUCCUACGGGAGGCAGCAGUGGGGAAGAUUGCACAAUGGGCGCAAGCCUGAUGCAGCGACGCCGCGUGGGGGAUGACGGCCUUCGGGUUGUAAACUCCUUUCGCUAGGGACGAAGCUUUUUGUGACGGUACCUAGAUAAGAAGCACCGGCUAACUACGUG
rnacentral:rRNA from 1 species